CCCUCUGCUACACAGUGCAGUGGUCAUGUUUCUCUUUGGGAUUUCAUAGAGCAAUGUGAAACAGGGCAUGCCAGGUCAGGGCUGUUGUAAACACUGCAUGCAGCUGCUGUGCCCAGGUACCUUAGCCAGGGCUGCUCUCUGUGGAUCAGGAACAGGAGAGAAACAGGGCAAAAAGCUGAUGAACUGUUUUAAAUGAAUUGGAGACAUCCCUUGGUAGGCAGGUACUCCACACAACACUUCUCUAUUUAUUUUAAAUGCCAUCACAAGAUGUUGUUGAUCUCUGAGGAAUAACAGUGGGUGAUUGGGACCCACAUACCUGGAUUCCAGUUUAUGCUGGGAUUUCUAGUCUUCUUUGAGGAACCUUAAUCCCUUUUCCCAUUACAGCCAAAAGCUCAAGAGAAGUCCUGCCAUUAAGGUUCUCAGAAAAAAAAAAAAAAAUAUAAGACAACUGUGAGUUUUAUGAUGGCAUCUUUGAGGUUUCUGAGCUGAGAGAACUUCAACAGCCUGACACUCCUGUAAACGUGCUCCUCAUCCUUGCACAAGGAAAUGGUCCAAAUGUGGGACAGCUUCUGCCUGCUGAUAUACCUUGGGAAGAAACCCAGUUCAAAAAUGUCUUCCUCCCCUAUCAGCAUCGCACUGAAAAGCAACAAAGCAUGAGAUAAACCCUCAAACACAAAAAGACAACUUUGAAAAGCUUUGAAACCCCGUUCCCAUAGCGUUUGAUCAGCUGUUGAACCAGGAGAUGAUCACACCACAGAUUAAGCAGAGGGCCAUUGUGACCUUCAUUUUCACAGUGAGGCACCAGCAGCUGUUCAGCACCAGUGCUGUAAGGAUGGCACAUGGGAAAAAUCGAGUGCUCGGUGCAGCUCUGGUUCAGGCUCCACUCAGUGCUCUGCUGACCUGGCAGGAGUGUGCAGGGCUUGGACAAACUGCUCCACCACCCCCAAGCUGUUUGCCUCUGUCUGUGCCUCUGGCUUGGAAUAAAGUAAAAAGAUGUCACAGUGCAUUUAUGGGGUCAAGACAGUCCUGGAAGCAACACAAUUUGGGUAUCUACUGCAUAUGAGGCACACCAGGAUUUCAUCCACUUCCUUUGGUGUCCUUUUCCAUGAGGGCACAUUGAUGUUUGUCCAGAACAGGAAGGGUUGUCUAUUUUUGGAAUAAAGAG
rnacentral:lncRNA from 1 species